CAGCUAUAUCACUCUGAAACAUGAGUUCUUGUUUGAUCCCCUAAGUUAAGCAAUUUUGAACCUGGUCAGUACCUAGAUGGGUGACUGCUUGGGAAUACCAAGUGCUGUAAG